rnacentral:tRNA from 1 species
GGGGUUGUAGCUCAUCGGUAGAGCAUUUGUCUAGUGUGCAGGAAGCCUUGGGUUUAAUUUCCAGCAACACAU